UACGUAGGGGGCAAGCGUUUGUCCGGAUUUAUUGGGCGUAAAGAGCGUGUAGGCGGCCGUACAGGUCAGCUGUGAAAAACUCGAGGCUCAACCUCGAGACGUCGGUUGAAACCGUACGGCUAGAGUCCGGAAGAGGAGAGUGGAAUUCCCGGUGUAGCGGUGAAAUGCGCAGAUAUCGGGAGGAACACCAAUGGCGAAGGCAGCUCUCUGGUACGUGACUGACACUGAGACGCGAAAGCGUGGGGAGCGAACAGG
rnacentral:rRNA from 1 species